ACACUCAAAAAUCAUUAGUCACUUUAAAAAAUCUUGGCUACUUUUUGUAUACUACGUUUUUCUCUGAGUACUUGUGUAUUAUGCAAAAUACACAGUGUUUCUGAGCCAAGGGCUUUUGGUAUAAAUUGAGUGGGUUCUAAACUAAAACAGAAGUAUAAAUAAAUGUAAUUUACUGCACAUCUUACGCUUUCACUCUUCUCUUCCAACCCUUAGUCAAAAAAUUCUACAACCCUGAGAAUUGUGUGCUCCAGGGUUUGACAGAGGAGGAAUCUCGAUUCCUGUGUGAAAAAGGCUUCUUGCAUUUCCACAAUUCCCAAUUUGUAUUUGCAGGCAAUGGUACUGGGCAUCUGGAUCUCUGAUCUUUGUGGAGCCAGAAGCUUUGAAGGCAGUGAAUGACUUCCUAUCUGCUGGAAAAUCAUGCUGAUUCUCACUUCAUGAAUCUGCAACAGACAGAAUGGAUCCUUAAGAAAACUAAUGAAAGUUCUGCUCUGAAGGUUUGAUUCUACAAAAAAACCCACAUUUCUUGCUGAGAGGUGACUUCACUGAGUGCAUGUCCUAGGACAGGUCCUCAGCAAUGAAGAGGUACUGCAGUGCAGCAUUUCCCUGGAUUACGCUGCCACCUUUGUCAAACCAGAACAUCAAAGGUACAAAUCUUCUGCAAACUUUUGGCCUCAUUUCAGCCAGU